AUCCAACUGACGAGUCCUAAAUAGGACGAAACGCGCAUCCUGGAU
rnacentral:hammerhead_ribozyme from 1 species